AACGAACGCUGGCGGCAGGCUUAACACAUGCAAGUCGAGCGAAGACUUCGGUCUUAGCGGCGGACGGGUGAGUAACGCGUGGGAACAUACCCUUUGCUACGGAACAGUCCCGGGAAACUGGGUUUAAUACCGUAUACGCCCUUCGGGGGAAAGAUUUAUCGGCAAAGGAUUGGCCCGCGUUGGAUUAGGUAGUUGGUGGGGUAAAGGCCUACCAAGCCGACGAUCCAUAGCUGGUUUGAGAGGAUGAUCAGCCACACUGGGACUGAGACACGGCCCAGGCUCCUACGGGAGGCAGCAGUGGGGAAUCUUAGAAAAUGAACGAAAGUUUGAUCUAGCCUUGUUACGUGGAGGAUGAAGGCUCUUCUGGUCGUAAACACCUUAUCGUAGUUGGGUAGUGUGCAAAACUAUGUUUUGCAUACAAGAAUGCCCUGGUUGGGUAACGAUUUCGUCGAUAGAGAUCCGGAAUCCAAUCUAAGGAUUAUGACGUAUACUACGAGAGUAGCCCUGGCCAAUUCUGUGCCAGCAGCCGCCGUAAGAC
rnacentral:rRNA from 1 species